GCACAAUUCGUCCAGUGGUUAGGAUUCUGCCUUCCCAAUAAAAUAUAUUGGUACAGGCAGGGACACGAGUUCGAAUCUCGUAUUGUGCA